GUAGGUGGCAAGCGUUGUCCGGAAUUAUUGGGGCGUAAAGCGCGCGCAGGCGGUUCGUUUAAGUCUGAUGUGAAAGCCCACGGGCUCAACCGUGGAGGGUCAUUGGAAACUGGAGAACUUGAGUACAGAAGAGGAAAGCGGAAUUCCACGUGUAGCGGUGAAAUGCGUAGAGAUGUGGAGGAACACCAGUGGCGAAGGCGGCUUUCUGGUCUGUAACUGACGCUGAGGCGCGAAAGCGUGGGGAGCAAACAGGAUUAGAUACCCUGGUAGUCCACGCCGUAAACGAUGAGUGCUAAGUGUUAGGGGGUUUCCGCCCCUUAGUGCUGCAGCUAACGCAUUAAGCACUCUGCCUGGGGAGUACGGCCGCAAGGCUG
rnacentral:rRNA from 1 species